rnacentral:rRNA from 1 species
UACAGAGGUCUCAAGCGUUGUUCGGAUUCAUUGGGCGUAAAGGGUGCGUAGGCGGCGCGGUAAGUCGGGUGUGAAAUCUCGGAGCUUAACUCCGAAACUGCAUUCGAUACUGCCGUGCUUGAGGACUGGAGAGGAGACUGGAAUUUACGGUGUAGCGGUGAAAUGCGUAGAUAUCGUAAGGAAGACCAGGGGCGAAGGCGGGUCUCUGGACAGUUCCUGACGCUGAGACACGAAGGUCAGGGGAGCAAACGGG